rnacentral:rRNA from 1 species
GUUAAAAAGCUCGUAGUUGGACUUCGGGAUGGGCCAGUCGGUCCGCCUAACGGUGUGUUUACUGGCUGGUCUGUUCUUCUUCGCAAAGACUGCGUGUGCACUUUACUGUGUGUGCGUAGGAUUUACGACGUUUACUUUGAAAAAAUUAGAGUGUUCAAAGCAGGCAUACCGCUUGAAUACAUGAGCAUGGAAUAAUGGAAUAGGACUUUGGUCUUAUUUUGUUGGUUUCUGAGACCGAAGUAAUGAUUAAGAGGGACAGUUGGGGGCAUUCGUAUUUCGUUGUCAGAGGUGAAAUUCUUGGAUUUACGAAAGACGAACAAUUGCGAAAGCAUUUGCCAAGAAUGUUUUCAUUAAUCAAGAACGAAAGUUAGAGGAUCGAAGACGAUCAGAUACCGUCCUAGUUCUAACCAUAAACGAUGUCGACUAGGGAUCAGCGAACGUCUAAUGCGACUUCGUUGGCACCUUACGGGAAACCAAAGUUUUUGGAUUCCGGGGGAAGUAUGGUUGCAAAAACUGAAACUUAAA